rnacentral:misc_RNA from 1 species
GACGGAGGGGGCAAGCGUUGCUCGGAAUAACUGGGCGUAAAGGGUGCGUAGGCGGUUUUCUAAGUGAGAUGUUAAAUAUUUGGGCUCAACCUAAAGAAUGCAUUUCAUACUGGAGAACUUGAGUGUGAAAGAGGAAACGGGAAUUCCUCAUGUAGAGGUGAAAUUCGUAGAUAUGAGGAGGAACACCAGAGGCGAAGGCGAGUUUCUGGGUCACUACUGACGCUGAGGCACGAAAGCGUGGGGAGCAAACAGG